rnacentral:rRNA from 1 species
ACUCCUACGGGAGGCAGCAGUGGGGAAUAUUGCACAAUGGGCGCAAGCCUGAUGCAGCCAUGCCGCGUGUAUGAAGAAGGCCUUCGGGUUGUAAAGUACUUUCAGCAGUGAGGAAGGUGGAGUCGUUAAUAGCGGCCUCAUUUGACGUUAGCUGCAGAAGAAGCACCGGCUAACUCCGUGCCAGCAGCCGCGGUAAUACGGAGGGUGCGAGCGUUAUCCGGAAUCAUUGGGUUUAAAGGGUCCGUAGGUGGACGAUUAAGUCAGAGGUGAAAUCUUGCAGCUCAACUGUAAAAUUGCCUUUGAUACUGGUUGUCUUGAGUUAUUAUGAAGUGGUUAGAAUAUGUAGUGUAGCGGUGAAAUGCAUAGAUAUUACAUAGAAUACCAAUUGCGAAGGCAGAUCACUAAUAAUAUACUGACACUGAUGGACGAAAGCGUGGGUAGCGAACAGGAUUAGAUACCCUGGUAGGCUCUG